AUGAGCGGGGCGGGCAGGGCGCUGGCCGCGCUGCUGCUGGCCGCGUCCGUGCUGAGCGCCGCGCUGCUGGCCCCCGGCGGCUCUUCGGGGCGCGAUGCCCAGGCCGCGCCGCCACGAGACUUAGACAAAAAAAGACAUGCAGAGCUGAAGAUGGAUCAGGCUUUGCUACUCAUCCAUAAUGAACUUCUCUGGACCAACUUGACCGUCUACUGGAAAUCUGAAUGCUGUUAUCACGUUGGAAUACAGAUUUGGAGAAUUUGGAAACUAUUCUCUCUUGGUAAAGAACAUCCAUAAUGGAGUUAGUGAAAUUGCCUGUGACCUGGCUGUGAACGAGGAUCCAGUUGAUAGUAACCUUCCUGUGAGCAUUGCAUUCCUUAUUGGUCUUGCUGUCAUCAUUGUGAUAUCCUUUCUGAGGCUCUUGUUGAGAGUCUUGCUAUGUCACCCAGGCUGGAGUGCGGUGGCACCAUCUCGGCUCACUCCAAGCUCUGCCU
rnacentral:lncRNA from 10 species